rnacentral:rRNA from 1 species
GACGAACGCUGGCGGCGUGCUUAACACAUGCAAGUCGAACGGAAAGGCCCUGCUUUUGUGUGGUUCUCGAGUGGCGAACGGGUGAGUAACACGUGAGUAACCUGCCCUUGACUGUGGGAUAACUUCAGGAAACUGGGGCUAAUACCGGAUAGGAGCUCCUGCUGCAUGGUGGGGGUUGGAAAGUUUCGGCGGUUGGGGAUGGACUCGCGGCUUAUCAGCUUGUUGGUGGGGUAGUGGCUUACCAAGGCUUUGACGGGUAGCCGGCCUGAGAGGGUGGCCGGCCACAUUGGGACUGAGAGACGGCGCAGACUCCUACGGGAGGCAGCAGUGGGGAGUAUUGCACAGUGGGCGGAAGCCUGAUGCGGCAACGCCGCGUGCGGGAUGACGGCCUUCGGGUUGUAAACCGCUUUCGCCUGUGACGAAGCGUGAGUGACGGUAAUGGGUAAAGAAGCACCGGCUAACUACGUG